rnacentral:rRNA from 1 species
UACGUAGGAUGCAAGCGUUGUUCGGAAUUACUGGGCGUAAAGCGCACGUAGGUGGCGACGUAAGUCGGGUGUGAAAGCCCCGGGCUCAACCUGGGAAUUGCAUUCGAUACUGGAUAGCUAGAGUUCGGCAGAGGGAAGCGGAAUUUCUGGUGUAGCGGUGAAAUGCGUAGAUAUCAGAAGGAACAUCAGUGGCGAAAGCGGCUUCCUGGACCAGAACUGACGAUCAGGCUCGAAAGCGUGGGGAGCAAACAGG